rnacentral:rRNA from 1 species
CAGUCAUAUGCUUCGUUCAAGGGCUAAGCCAUGCAAAUGUCAGUGUACACGGCUCUUCCAGCAACAGUGGGUCUGUGAAUGGCUCCUUAGACCAGUAGUCAUCUUUGCGAUACAGUGUGGAUGGCACAAGCCACCAGAAUGGUGCCCAUUUGGAUAUCCUCAAUAACGUUGAGGCUAAUACACGCUCGAAACAGUCAGCCACAAUGCUACAGCUCAAAUCCUGCCAAAGCCAUGAAGCUUACCACAUCAGGGUAUGUGGUGGUGGAUUGCAUCCAGCCUUCAUUCAAGACCAGCGCCAUGAGAAUCAUUCCUACACAUAACCAUGGCAGCAUGCUUUCCCCACAGUUGACUCAGGCUGAUCCCUAUAUUGGACACAGCAGCUCUGGCAAGACUCUUCUUUUCAAAGUGGUCCCCUUGUUGGUAUGAAGGCUCUCCGAGCUGCACCUCUUGGGUUGAACUACUGUCUGGCUUGAUCGCAUGAACUUCUGACCUAUCAGCUUCCAGAUGGUGGGGUAGUGGCCCACCAUGGCUUCAACAGGUUACGGAGAAUCAGGGUUUGAUUCCGGAGAGGGAGCCUGAGACACGGCUACCACAUCCAAGGAUGGCAGCAGGCACGCAAAUUGUCCAAUGCAGAUACAGUCUUGUGAGGCAGCAACGAACUGCAGCAACCCUGUUGGUCCCCUGGACUGACAGGGCUUGGAAUGGAUGCAACCCAAACCCAGCGAUGAGUAACGAUUUGGAGGGCAAGUCUGGUGCCAGCAGCCGCGGUAAUUCCAGCUCCAAGGGCAUAUGCUAUCAUUGCUGCUGUUAAAACGCUCGUAGUCUGCUAUCAGGUUUCAGGUCUGCAGAUGGCUGGUCACACAGCUGCAUGUACUCACGGCCCUCUGGUUCUCUGCCUGGUUCACCUCUUCCGAGGUUGGUCCAUAAUGGAGUUCCAUGGUUUCAUGAGAUGAUCGGCUUGUGUGACUGGGUUCAACCUCUGCAGUAAGCCCCUGUACCUACCAGAGUCCUUCUGUUGAUGUGGUGAGAUCAGCUCCUGCUUUCAAGCUUCCUUCAUUGGAUUGUGGCAAGCGGUAAUGCCCAGCAUUCAGGCUAGUAUGGCAACUCACAGCCUCUGGAUCCCAGAUGUUCCAAGCUUUGUUGCCCACCACUGGAGCCCACCACUGAUUGAUACACUGGCAAACUCAGAGUGCACAAGGCAACCCACUAUGUGGUGGGAGCAACUGUUUCCACACCAAAUCUUCUUGAAGAUGGCUGCAUGACUCACCAGUGAAUGUUGAAGCAUCGACCUGCUGUGGCAUAUCUGUAUUCUUGUGCUGGCUCUUGAAGCCUGGCAUUUCAGGGGCAAUGUGGUGCAUGAUUCGUCCUGUUGAAUGGGCUUGACCAACCCAUGGCGGCAUUGUAAAUUGUAUGGCUUUACUUCCUGUGAACUAUGGAAUGGCAAAGAGUGUCAAGGCUUGCUGGCUCAAAGCUUGAGAUUGGAUUUACUUGCAUCAAGCGAACGUGAUGGGACCAUGAAUUCAGGGUAAAGGGUACCCUUGCGCCAGAGGUGAAAUUCUUAGAUCGCAAUGAGACCAACAGUUGCGAAGGCGCUUUGCAAGGCUGUGUUCGUCAAUCAAGAACGAAAGUCUGGGGAACAAAGAUGAUCAGACACCGUUGUAGUCCAGCACUGUAAACUAUGCCAGCUUGGCCUUGGUCAGGACAGACUAUUCACAAGACCUGACCAGGGGCCUUCUUAUCCCCCACAACGAGUAAUCCAAAGCUAUUGGGUUCAGGGGGAAGUAUCGCUGCAAGGCAGAAACUUAAAGGAAUUGGCGGAAUGGCACCACCAGGUGUGGAGCAUGCGGCUUAAUUUGACUCAACGCGGGAAAGCUUACCAGGUCAGGACAGAUUCAGGAUGGACAGACUGCUAGCUCUUUCUUGAUUGUUUGGACGGUGGUGCAUGGCCGCUCCUGAUUGGUGGAGUGAUUUGUCUGGUUGAUUCCGUUAACGAGUGAGAUCUCUGCCUCCCAAUAAGCCCCUGGCUCGCUUCUGUAAGGCAUGGGCUACUUGCUUAGGGUGCUUCACAAUGCCCUGUUGAUCUGGCCUUGAUUGGUCCAGUGAAAUUGUGGUGCCUGUGAAUGUCUCUCCUUCUUGUAGUUCCACCUGAGAGUCUAGGGCCAAAGACAUUCUAUUGUGCUAGCUUCUCUGAGGUGCUGUGCCCGACUUACCUGAAGGGUUUGCAUGCUAGAGCCAACAGCAGGUCUGUGAUGCUCCCAGAUGUUCUGGACCGCACGCGUUCUACACUGAUUCAGCGAAGGUGCCAAACAGCUCGUAUUCAACGAGUCUUGAGCUGAAGAGCUUGAGCAAUCCUACGAGACUGAGUCGUGCUUGGGAUAGAUGAUUGCAACUGUCUCUCUUGAACGAGGAAUACCUAGUAUGCCUGGGUCAUCAGCCCAGACAGAUUAUGUCCCUGCCAUUUGUACACACCGCCCGUCGUUGCUACCGAUGUUGACUGAGCAAAACACCCCAGAGGCUUGAAGCUUACUACUUGCAAGUAUUGUGGCCAAACUCCUGUGAUGCCCAGCUGUUAGAGGAAGCAAAA